rnacentral:rRNA from 1 species
UAGGGAAUAUUGGGCAAUGGACGAAAGUCUGACCCAGCCAUGCCGCGUGCAGGAAGACGGCCUUCUGGGUUGUAAACUGCUUUUGAUCGGGAACAAAGAGCCCUUGCGAGGGAAGUUGAGUGUACCGAUAGAAUAAGCACCGGCUAACUCCGUGCCAGCAGCCGCGGUAAUACGGAGGGUGCAAGCGUUGUCCGGAUUUAUUGGGUUUAAAGGGUGCGUAGGCGGCUUUUUAAGUCAGUGGUGAAAUCCUGCAGCUUAACUGUAGAACAGCCAUUGAUACUGAAGAGCUUGAGUACAGACGAGGUAGGCGGAAUUUAUGGUGUAGCGGUGAAAUGCAUAGAUACCAUAAAGAACACCUAUUGCGAAGGCAGCUUACUAGGCUGUAACUGACGCUGAGGCACGAAAGCGUGGGGAUCAAACAGG